UCACUCAUGUAAAAAGUAAGUCUUAAAACAUAGUCUUUCUUAACAUAUGGGAGCUAUUUUCACUGAUAGUUUGUAUCUUGUACACGUUUAUGUCAUUCUUUAACUCAGUCAUGAUUCUUUAAAUUUGCUAUCUGUUAUGACGAUGUACGUCAUUACUUCAUUUUUUAUCUGCACAUAUCUCUCCUUCCUAAUUGUAUCAUACUUAAUUGAAGCGCAGCAUUUGAGUACAGAACCGAAUCCAGAUGAUCCUCUGGUUUGACAUUAUGCGGAUAUCGUAUGUUGUCUGUGACAUUUUGAUGGGAUUUCCUUUGACCUUACUGAUGUGCUGAGUCAAAUAUAUGUAACAAAAAUGCACAACUAAAAUGUUGUCUUGCAGAUUGUUGGUUUGGAUGAAGAUAACUUCAUUUUAUUUCAUGAAAAAAUAAGGUAACAAUGCACAUUAGUUUAUACCACUUAAACUGAAGGGUAACUACGUAAUAGAUGUAAUGACGUACCUGCAUGAUGGCUAAUACUUUCUUUUGGGAACACCUCUUGAUUGUGCAUAUGAAUUUGAUUGCUACUGGCUGUUUAGCAUUAUGUUUAUGUUAUCUGCAAUUUGUUUCGUAAUUCGUUAUGCAAAUUUAGAACUCUUUCUGCAUUGGUUAUACAAGGGUGGACGAGUUCGCAUGGUAUGGAAAUUUAAAUUCCUACAACACUGAUACACAGACAGCCAUAUAUCCUCUUCACCAAACGCUUAACCAUAAAACAUUUCUUAUUCUUGAGCUCUCCUUAACUCUGCAUUGUUUUCAGACUUUGCUCUUGCAUUCUUCAUCCAUUACGAAGGGUGGAAUGGGGAAGUCAACAAAUUCCUUACAAAUAUUUGAUCAUAUGUAUCUUCUCUUAGAAUCCUCUUACUUCUGGUUAACAAAUAUCUGUUAUAUUUUUCACACCAAUGCGUUUACUAAUGUCGUAAUUUAACUAACAUGUGUUGUUUUAUUUCAUUUUGGUUGCCGGGUGUUUGUGGUUGCUUAUCCAACUUCCUUAUUGCGAGUACUGUUUGUUCCAGUAGUUGUGAGAUCCUGAUUGAUUGCUGGAUCGUUGUGAGGGUAGUGUGAAGGUUCAUUAACUAAUUGCCUUAUGUGUCUCUCUGGCUUGCAGGUUAUCUGGGUUUUUUACUAGCAAACAUAUGGUGGGUUCUCUUCUGUUGUGGAGUUUAAGUUCUUAGUUAUGGUUGUAGUGGUUUAUGACUGUCUCUUUAUUUGAAGGCUGAAUUUUUUUCAAUAUUUUUUGUUUACCUGUAUGUGUGAGGUGGCGAGUCUCAUUUAUUUUGUUAAAAAUGUUGGCGAGUCAUUUCAGAUUGUUGGUUUGUAACUCCGCUGUGAAUAUUUCGUGUUUAUUAAUACGUGGUUUUGUAUUGAACGUCUUAUUUUCCUCUAUUUUCUUGAAAUUGUUAGUUCUCUAUUAAGUAGCCAAUAAAUUGAAGGAAAAGUAGAGAAGACAAACUAAAAUUUUUAUCAUCCAUAUUCAUUAUUUUCAUUUUUUGUUACAGAUUACGUGAGCUUCGUUGUUUCUUUUGUUUUUAUUUUCCUCCUCUUUUAUGAUAUUGCUUUGGAAGUCAUUUGAUUGCAAUAUCCGUGACAUUCCGUCAUGUGUUUUGGUUUUUUGGGAUUUUGAUUAAUAUUGGAGCAUUGUUUUGUUUAUUUUCAUUUUUUGUUACAGAUUAUGUGAGCUUGGUUAUUUCUUUUGUUUUUAUUUUCCUCCCCUUUUAUUAUAUUGCUUUCGAAGUCAUUUGAUUGCAAUAUCUGUGACAAUCCGUUGUGUGUUUUGGUUUUUUGGGAUAUUGAUUAAUAUAGUAGUAUUGUUUUGUCUAGUGAUACUUGGUGGAAAGGACUACAAUCUUAAGACAUUUGACUAAUGCUGGUACAAUUAGAUGACUUAAAACUCUGAUUCUUUAUUAUAACACUUACAUGGGAUUUAACUUCAAGUUAUGAUUUCUGACCCUGAUUGGUACUGUCAUUUUUAUCAGUAGUGCUCCAUUCUCUUAUGAUUACAUAUUUUGCUAACUGAUCUUCAGCGUAAUAGUUUAUGUAUUUGCAUUGAUUUCUUGGAAAACAUUUGUUACAAAUACUAACUGUAAUUUUUCCCCAAACUCUUCUAAGUUUUCUUGCUCAGAAUUUAUUUUGUUGGUAAUUGCAUCUGAAGCCUUGUUGGCUCACAAAAUUUCAUACAGUUCUACAUGUUUAACUCUAAAGGUACAUUAUGUAAUUAAAAUUUUGUGCCACAGUAAAUCUGUAAUGUGGAUACUGAUUAUGAAUUUCUGAAUUAUGAAGCUGGUACUCACCAUUUACAACAGAUGAAACAUGCCAAAUGAAAGGAAAGUGUGUCCCAGCGCCUGACAAAUGGAGGGGUAUGACUUCAGAUCGUGAAAUCCUUGAGCCUUAUGCCAUGGAAAAUAUCAAUUAUGUGGGAGAUCAAAGCCAAGUAGAGAAGUCUGAGUUUCUGACGACCUUAUGGACUCUGAACUGGCUGGGUUCUGUGGUUCAUGCACCAAUUUUGUUUCUUCUGCACGAGGUGCAUUCGUAGCCGAUGCGGGUGAUUGCCGUAGUCUCAGCGAUUUUUCAGGUCAGUUGAUGCCCUCCUCUUUAUCGGACCUAGAGUUCGGCAAAGCUUAAGGAGCGAGAUAAUCAAUGCUUGGUGAAUUUCAUGGCUCUGAUCCUCUCUUCAUCUUUGAUUUCAUAUCAGUUUUGGGUUUAAUUUUUUCCUUAUUUUUUUGAGGUCAGCUUUCUUACUUGAUAUUUGUGUGUAUGCUUUAUUAAGGGAAUUUAUGGGAGUUUUCUUCUACCAAAGGUUUUUCUUUUCCAUCUGCUUCUUUCUUAGCUUUUAAUUCAGUUAUUUACUCUAGGUAAACUUCUGCUCUGCUAAUGGGUUGAACUUACCAUUGUCCAGGCUAACAAACUUGCUUGAUUUUGAAAUGCAGGUUGCUGGCCAGGGAAAUAUUGAGUGAAGAACUUUUGGGAGUUCAAGGUACAGGUUCAUUCGAUGAUCCUUAUGUCCUCCAAAUAAAACCAGCACAUAAGGAGCCACUGAAGGGUAAUCUCGGGGUUCCAUUCACAGCCCCUUCAGGAGCACAAAUCUGUUUCCCCUAAUGUGCAUCAAAUGAAUUGUUGUAGGCAGGUUGGUUAUUAUUUUCUUUUCCCAUUCAUUCUAUUGAUUAAGCUCUUCAUCUGUUUAUUCCACUUUGUUCUCAGUAGGGGUUUCUGAGAAGGAGAAUUAUUAUCUGCGAUUAUUUCUCUCGGUAUGGUACUUCGGAUCUGCGAUUUACUGGUUUGCUUCCGGUUGAUUGCUUGGUUUGCUUAUAUAUUUCAACAAUCCUAGAUUAAAUUUUCUGCUUAUUAUAUGGAAUAGGGAAUCUCCAACUAAGUGACUGUCUUAUGUGUCUUGCUCUGCUUAUGUGCUGGCAGUGCUGCGAAUUUUAUUGUUAGUAUGGUGUUGUUUUAGUGUGUCCAACUUCCUUUUGAUCCAGGCAUCUAACUUUGUUGAUGGUCAACUUCUCUCUGACUUGGUCUAUUAUUUGACCUUUUUUUAGGAAUUAUUUAUCAUUACAUGUUUGUUUUAACUGGCAUUUGUUCUACUCUUUUUCAUGUUUGCAGUCUUUGCUUCUUCAGUGCUUCCUUAACUUCUCCUUGUGUCGAAGGUGAAUGUUUUACACAUUUGUUCUUCCGCCGCAACGCGCGGGCUUACUACCUAGUAGAUCUAUAUGAUCCAUCAUUUCGAUAAUUGCCCUCCAUACCUUCAAAUCCUUAUCUCUUCAUACACUAUCGAUCUCUGACUAGAAAAGCAUUCAACACAAUCCUCCAUAAAAGAUCAUUUGACCAGACCGUUAGAGAAUAUUUACUCUAGAAAUAGAUCGUUAUGAUUGCAUUAUGUUUAAAUCAGGGUGUUGUAUAUUUGUAGAAUAUAGUAGUUCCCAACGUGAUGCAGAUUUUUCAAUAUUAACCCUCCAUACCCUGAAGUCUUCCUUUUCUCUUCAUAGACCAUCUAUCUCUGGCUAGAAAAAGAUUCAUCACAAUCCUCCAUAACAGACCAUUUGAACAGUCGACAGAACCACACACAAUUGGGAAUAAAUGAGAAAUAAUUUCAGUCCUUUUUAACUUCUUUGUUUUGGUGAAAAAUAAGAAUGUGCAUGGUCAUCUUAAACAACACCCUAUUUUUCAUAACUUGCUUUCUAAGUCUCUCACUUAAUUUGUGGUUGCUUUAGAUAAAUGAUCUGGAGGACUUGUGACUCUUUGGAAAUUCUUAUAUCUCUGUUUUCUAAUCAAUUAAGCUAUGGUUUUGAUGCCCUAAGAAUGUAGUUUUCAAUUCCGGUGAUAAGGACUUGGCGAUUUCACAUUUAAUAUUUGGUAGACACUGGAAUCAUGUGAGACAGUUUUGUUAUAAAUAUAAACUCACAAAGUAAAGGAGAAGGAGAAGAGUUGUUUCAAUUACAAGUCACCAUAGUUUCAACGAGAUUGUAGUCGGGCUCUUCAAAUUUCUCCAAGAAAUUCGUGGAAGAUGAUAGGUUUGGUUGCCUGAUAGAUAUGAGUUCCCAGCAGAGAGAGAUUGAGGUGUGUUUUUUCUUCUCAUCUUAGAUUUACUUUACCUAGUUCCUUAAAUAAUUCGGAAUGCUUUUGCAUGUUGUGUAUGCGUAAUGUAGUUUUAUGUCGGUUAUUGAUAUGUAUGUAUCUUGCUCUGCUUGCAUUGAAUUUUCACAUACACCCAACUUUAUUUUCACA